CAUGGUUGUCGUCAGCUCGUGUCGUGAGAUGUUGGGUUAAGUCCCGCAACGAGCGCAACCCUUGUGUUUAGUUGCAAACAGGUCAAGCUGUGCACUCUAGACAGACUGCCGUGGACAACACGGAGGAAGGUGGGGAUGACGUCAAAUCAUCAUGCCCCUUAUGAUCUGGGCUACACACGUGCUACAAUGGCCGGUACAACGGGCAGCGAAGGAGCGAUCCGGAGCGAAUCCUAAAAAGCCGGUCCCAGUUCGGAUUGCAGGCUGAAACUCGCCUACAUGAAGUUGGAGUUGCUAGUAAUCGCGAAUCAGAAUGUCGCGGUGAAUGCGUUCCCGGGUCUU
rnacentral:rRNA from 1 species